rnacentral:rRNA from 1 species
AGAGUUUGAUCCUGGCUCAGGAUGAACGCUGGCGGUAUGCUUAACACAUGCAAGUCGAACGGACUCUUCGGAGUUAGUGGCGGACGGGUGAGUAACGCGUGAGAAUCUGGCUUCAGGUUCGGGACAACAGUUGGAAACGGCUGCUAAUACCGGAUGUGCCUUAUGGUGAAAGAUUUAUCACCUGAAGAUGAGCUCGCGUCUGAUUAGCUAGUAGGUGUGGUAAGAGCGCACCUAGGCGACGAUCAGUAGCUGGUCUGAGAGGAUGAUCAGCCACACUGGGACUGAGACACGGCCCAGACUCCUACGGGAGGCAGCAGUGGGGAAUUUUCCGCAAUGGGCGAAAGCCUGACGGAGCAAUACCGCGUGAGGGAGGAAGGCUCUUGGGUUGUAAACCUCUUUUCUCAGGGAAGAAUGAUGACGGUACCUGAGGAAUAAGCAUCGGCUAACUCCGUGCCAGCAGCCGCGGUAAUACGGAGGAUGCAAGCGUUAUCCGGAAUGAUUGGGCGUAAAGCGUCCGCAGGUGGCAAUGUAAGUCUGCUGUCAAAGCGUCUGGCUCAACCAGAUAAAGGCAGUGGAAACUACAUAGCUAGAGUAAGGUAGGGGUAGAGGGAAUUCCUGGUGUAGCGGUGAAAUGCGUAGAGAUCAGGAAGAACACCGGUGGCGAAAGCGCUCUGCUGGACCUUAACUGACGCUGAGGGACGAAAGCUAGGGGAGCGAAUGGGAUUAGAUACCCCGGUAGUCC